GCAUAUCAAUAAGCGGAGGAAAAGAAACCAACAGGGAUUGCCUCAGUAACGGCGAGUGAAGCGGCAACAGCUCAAAUUUGAAAGCUGCCAUCCGGCCGCGUUGUAAUUUGUAGAAGCUGCUUUGGGUGUCGGCCCGGUCUAAGUUCCUUGGAACAGGACGUCACAGAGGGUGAGAAUCCCGUACGUGAUCGGUGCCGUUGCCCGUGUAAAGCGCUUUCGACGAGUCGAGUUGUUUGGGAAUGCAGCUCAAAAUGGGUGGUAAAUUUCAUCUAAAGCUAAAUAUUGGCCAGAGACCGAUAGCGCACAAGUAGAGUGAUCGAAAGAUGAAAAGCACUUUGGAAAGAGAGUUAAACAGUACGUGAAAUUGUUGAAAGGGAAGCGCUUGCAACCAGACUUGCGGGCGGUCGAUCAUCCGAGGUUCUCCCCGGUGCACUCGAUCGUUCUCAGGCCAGCAUCGGUUUCCGGGGUGGGAUAAAGGCGGUGGGAAUGUGGCUCUUCGGAGUGUUAUAGCCCACCGUGCCAUGCUGCCUCCGGGGACCGAGGACCGCGCUUCGGCUAGGAUGCUGGCGUAAUGGUUGUAAGCGACCCGUCUUGAAACACGGACCAAGGAGUCUAACAUCUAUGCGAGUGUUUGGGUGUCAAACCCAUCCGCGUAAUGAAAGUGAACGGAGGUAAGAGCCCGUUAGGGUGCAUUAUCGACCGAUCCUGAUGUCUUCGGAUGGAUUUGAGUAAGAGCAUAGCUGUUGGGACCCGAAAGAUGGUGAACUAUGCGUGAAUAGGGUGAAGCCAGAGGAAACUCUGGUGGAGGCUCGCAGCGGUUCUGACGUGCAAAUCGAUCGUCAAAUUUGCGUAUAGGGGCGAAAGACUAAUCGAACCAUCUAGUAGCUGGUUCCUGCCGAAG
rnacentral:rRNA from 1 species